UACGAAGGGAGCUAGCGUUGUUCGGAAUCACUGGGCGUAAAGCGCGCGUAGGCGGCAAUGCAAGUCAGAGGUGAAAUACCUGGGCUCAACCCAGGAUCUGCCUUUGAAACUGCAUUGCUAGAGUACUGGAGGGGAUAGCGGAAUUCCUAAUGUAGCGGUGAAAUGCGUAGAUAUUAGGAGGAACACCGAUGGCGAAGGCAGCUAUCUGGACAGUCACUGACGCUGAGGCGCGAAAGCGUGGGGAUCAAACAGG
rnacentral:rRNA from 1 species